CGACCGACCGUAUCGUCGCCCGUCGCCGUCGUCGUCGUCGAUUGUGCUGCGUGUGUUGUGGCUUGCCGUAUGUGCGAGUUCUCGACUGUGUUUGUGUGCGUGCAUCUGUGUGUUUUCGUUUCGUGCAUCGAGAGCAUGCCGGAAGGGGGAGGAGAGUAGGAAAAAGGGGGGAAUGAAAAGUCUGGUGUGAGGCAAGUGUGAAAAGGGCGCCGCAGAAAACCAUAAAUUUGCGUGCGCGGUCUCUUCUUCUGUUUACAAUCUCCCGGUGGGGGUGGAAGGUGCUGUUCACCGGAAGCGAAGUGUGAACACAGAACGACACAAACCAACUGCGGUGUGGUGAAUCGAUGAAAAGUGUUUUAAUCGGUGAAAAGCAAUUAUACCAAGUCAAGCUUUUGUGUGAGUGCGAAGUGCGAUUAAAGAAGAAGGGCAGUGAAAACGCAUUUACAAAGUGAAAACCAUUACGGGAAAUUGUUGGAAGUUUUUCCACUAAAAUGGAAAUGAAGUCACAUUGCCAGUGAUACGGUUCAUCAAGCGCGUACAAAAUCGAAGUGAUAAGGCUAGAAGCACCGCGCAGCCCGAAUACAAGGAAGUCAAAGCCAUUUCAAUUCCAAACGGCCGCCAGUUUGUGUCAUUUGUCUCUCGAAAGCACACGGCCCUUGCGGGUCGGUGAGCAUUUUUAAUUGGAUUAAAAUCCAGCGCUCCUCCAUUCAACACACACCCCAGCCACAGGACACCACCAGGCAGACCACGUAUUCAGCGUGACUCGCGCAUUCAGCCGAUCAGCAGACGGGUGUCUUGAGUGGACGGAAGAAGCAGGCAGCAGAGCAUCAGAACCACGACCAGCACCGUGGCCCGAACGUUCACCCAAAAACGGGCUGCCAUCUUUGAGCCGAGCGGAAAUGGAUGCUGGCAACGUGUAACUUUGCAACAGAAGCCCCCUUGGGCCAGCCUUUUUGGCCAACGAAAGCAAAACGUAGCAGUGCGCAAGCAGUGCACGUGGGCCUCGCGGAAAAUGCAAAACAGCACACGGCGUGUACAGCCACCCACGAACAGCCGGGGCGGCAGGAAAUGAUUUCCUUUGGUUUUCUUGCAACGUGAACAGCGCAUCAACGCAUUGGCCAGAGCAGCGGUGUUUGCUUUUACUCCCGGGCAAAGGCAUAAAACAGUGAGCGAGUGAGAGCGUGGAGUGUGGUGUUGUGUGAAGCGACCGUCCUGGUUUACCUUCCUAUCUGACCUGGUGAUGAGCGUCGUGGCCGAGACCGAAAACCAAAAGUGACCACGCCAGGCUGGUUCAGAGUCCAAA